rnacentral:rRNA from 1 species
GACGAACGCUGGCGGCGUGCUUAACACAUGCAAGUCGAACGGAAAGGCCCUGCUUUUGUGGGGUGCUCGAGUGGCGAACGGGUGAGUAACACGUGGGUAACCUGCCCUUGACUUUGGGAUAACUUCAGGAAACUGGGGCUAAUACCGGAUAGGAGCUCCUGCUGCAUGGUGGGGGUUGGAAAGUUUCGGCGGUUGGGGAUGGACUCGCGGCUUAUCAGCUUGUUGGUGGGGUAGUGGCUUACCAAGGCUUUGACGGGUAGCCGGCCUGAGAGGGUGACCGGCCACAUUGGGACUGGGAUACGGCCCAGACUCCUACGGGAGGCAGCAGGGUGGAAUAUUGCACAAUGGGCGGAAGCCUGAUGCAGCAACGCCGCGUGCGGGAUGACGGCCUUCGGGUUGUAAACCGCUUUCGCCUGUGACGAAGCGUGAGUGACGGUAAUGGGUAAAGAAGCACCGGCUAACUACGUG